GCCGUACAGCCUGGAGACGAGCCUCACGUCGCCGCAGACUCCCGGUGAAAGCACAACAGGACGGAAACCCAGUUCUCGAACUCGCCGGCCAGCGCAGCGGGGACCCUGUCUCGCAAGGACCUGCGUGACUGAAGCUGGCAUGGAGCUGAGAAGUUUGUGUCGUUCAAGGAUGGAUAAAACCUCCUCCGGCCACACCUCGCACGUCACUGUUGGGCCGCUUGCUAUCAAAUCAAGAGGGUCCCCAAUCACGUCAGACAGUAUGAGUGAAACCACCUUUGAUGAAAUGAUGGGAAAAUCAGAAAUAUGCUCUUCUUUUAAUAAGCAAACAUUGUUAAAGGGGCAGUAUUAUGUGUUUUUCAGUCACACUUAGUUACGUUUUACAGCACAAUGAAGUUACUAUGCUACCUUCAGUUGUUAUAAAAAUGCAUAUGACUUAAAAAUAGAGGUUCAGUGAUUG